rnacentral:rRNA from 1 species
GAUGAACGCUGGCGGCGUGCCUAAUACAUGCAAGUCGAGCGAACAGACGAGGAGCUUGCUCCUUCGACGUUAGCGGCGGACGGGUGAGUAACACGUAGGUAACCUACCUAUAAGGCUGGGAUAACUUCGGUAAACCGGAGCUAAUACCGGAUAAUAUUUCGAACCGCAUGGUUCGAUAGUGAAAGAUGGCUUUGCUAUCACUUAUAGAUGGACCUGCGCCGUAUUAGCUAGUUGGUAAGGUAACGGCUUACCAAGGCAACGAUACGUAGCCGACCUGAGAGGGUGAUCGGCCACACUGGAACUAAGACACGGUCCAGACUACUACGGGAGGCAGCAGUAGGGAAUCUUCCGCAAUGGGCGAAAGCCUGACGGAGCAACGCCGCGUGGGUGAUGAAGGUCUUCGGAUCGUAAAACUCUGUUAUUAGGGAAGAACAAACGUGUAAGUAACUGUGCACGUCUUGACGGUACCUAAUCAGAAAGCCACGGCUAACUACGUG